GGCUUACCUGUUGCGCCACCACACAGAUAUAGACAUAUAAUAUAGAGUAAGAAUUCAGUGAAGGUGAAACUAAAUUAAACAGAUGAACUGGAAACUUCUUCAAACUUUAUUCAGACACACAGAAGCUAGUGAUCACAUCUGAUAUUCACUCAAAGUCAUGGCGUCCUCCAGUGGUCCAGCACUAGAUGGGACUCUAAAUAAAAAACUCAGUCAAACUGGGAGUCAACUCAGUCACCACCUUCAUCAAUCACCACGUGUGUUCCUCGUCUGCUGACAACAUGCCACUAAUGCUGCCAAUGAAGAUAACCUCAAUGAUAAUCUGAAAUCAUUCCCACGAAAAAUUCAUCAUUAUAUUGUCAUCUGUGUUCACAGGGUUGAAGUUUGUGCAGAAGUUUGCAGUGGAUGUGACUCUGGAUCCUGAUACAGCGAAUCCACAUCUCAUCCUGUCUGAUGAUGGAAAACAAGUCCGUCAUGGAGACAUUAAGCAGAAUGUCCCAAAAAACCCAAAGAGAUUAGAGGACAGAUCUGUUCUGGCAAAGCAGGGAUUCAGUUCAGGGAGAUUUUACUAUGAGGUGCAGGUGAAGGGAAAGACUGGGUGGGGUAUAGGAGUGGUCAGAGAAUCCAUCAACAGGAAGGUGACGAUUACAGCGAGUCCUGAGAUUGGAGCCUGGUUUCUAAUGCUGAGGAAUGAGAAUCAGUAUAUAGCUUGUGAUGAUCCACCUGUCUCUUUAUCUCUGAAAGUGAAACCUGAGAAGGUGGGAGUGUUUGUGGAUUAUGAGGAGGGUCUGGUCUCUUUUUAUGACGUGGACUCCAGAUCUCAUAUCUACUCUUUCACUGGUCAGACUUUCACUGAGAAACUCUAUCCAGGGUUAGAUCCAUACCUUAAUGAUGAAGGUAAAAACUCAAAGCCACUGACAGACUCUACAUGCUUGUGUUCGUGCUGCAGAAGCUACUGAGCCAAAAUAAAGCGUUAUUUCAACAACGCUGUACUGUUCAUUCAAACCAGAGCCAUAGAGUUGCGACAACUCCAUAGACUCCAAUGGAACGGUUUUUUUACAGCAAUGGCGGCUCGUGGAGCCUCUCAAUAGUUCCCGGAAGUAGCAGCCGCACCGUAGAGUUACAGCAGAA